rnacentral:rRNA from 1 species
GCCUACGGGGGGCUGCAGUGGGGAAUUUUGGACAAUGGGGGCAACCCUGAUCCAGCAAUGCCGCGUGUGUGAAGAAGGCCUUCGGGUUGUAAAGCACUUUUGUCCGGAAAGAAAUCGCGCUGGUUAAUACCUGGCGUGGAUGACGGUACCGGAAGAAUAAGCACCGGCUAACUACGUGCCAGCAGCCGCGGUAAUACGUAGGGUGCGAGCGUUAAUCGGAAUUACUGGGCGUAAAGCGUGCGCAGGCGGUUUUGUAAGACAGGCGUGAAAUCCCCGGGCUUAACCUGGGAAUUGCGCUUGUGACUGCAAGGCUAGAGUGCGUCAGAGGGGGGUAGAAUUCCACGUGUAGCAGUGAAAUGCGUAGAGAUGUGGAGGAAUACCGAUGGCGAAGGCAGCCCCCUGGGACGUGACUGACGCUCAUGCACGAAAGCGUGGGGAGCAAACAGGAUUAGAUACCCCUGUAGUCGC